CGUAGGGUGCAAGCGUUAAUCGGAAUUACUGGGCGUAAAGCGUGCGCAGGCGGUUGUGUAAGACAGAUGUGAAAUCCCCGGGCUUAACCUGGGAACUGCAUUUGUGACUGCAUAGCUAGAGUACGGUAGAGGGGGAUGGAAUUCCGCGUGUAGCAGUGAAAUGCGUAGAUAUGCGGAGGAACACCGAUGGCGAAGGCAAUCCCCUGGACCUGUACUGACGCUCAUGCACGAAAGCGUGGGGAGCAAACAGG
rnacentral:rRNA from 1 species